GUUCGGACUGUAGGCUGCAACUCGCCUACACGAAGUCGGAAUCGCUAGUAAUCGCGGAUCAGCAUGCCGCGGUGAAUACGUUCCCGGGCUUUGUACACACCGCCCGUCACACCAUGGGAGUUUGUAACGCCCAAAGUCGGUGGCCUAACCUUUAUGGAGGGAGCCGCCUAAGGCGGGACAGAUGACUGGGGUGAAGUCGUAACAAGGUAGC
rnacentral:rRNA from 1 species